rnacentral:rRNA from 1 species
UACGGAGGGAGCUAGCGUUGUUCGGAAAUACUGGGCGUAAAGCGCACGUAGGCGGCGCAGCAAGUCAGGGGGUGAAAUCCCGGGGCUCAACCUCGGAACUGCCCUUGAAACUGCAGUGCUAGAAUCUUGGAGAGGCGAGUGGAAUUCCGAGUGUAGAGGUGAAAUUCGUAGAUAUUCGGAAGAACACCAGUGGCGAAGGCGACUCGCUGGACAAGUAUUGACGCUGAGGUGCGAAAGCGUGGGGGAGCAAACAGG